UACGAAGGGGGCGAGCGUUGCUCGGAAUUACUGGGCGUAAAGGGCGCGUAGGCGGUGUGCCAAGUCAGGCGUGAAAGCCCCGGGCUCAACCUGGGAACGGCGCUUGAGACUGGCACGCUCGAGUUCGGGAGAGGAUGGUGGAAUUCCCAGUGUAGAGGUGAAAUUCGUAGAUAUUGGGAAGAACACCGAUGGCGAAGGCAGCCAUCUGGACCGACACUGACGCUGAGGCGCGAAAGCGUGGGGAGCAAACGGG
rnacentral:rRNA from 1 species